rnacentral:rRNA from 1 species
CUGGCUCAGGAUGAACGCUAGCGGCAGGCUAACACAUGCAAGUCGAGGGGCAGCGGGAUGUAGCAAUACAGUUGCCGGCGACCGGCGGAUGGGUGCGUAACGCGUAUGCAACCUACCUUAUACAGGGGAAUAACCUUUCGAAAGGGAGACUAACACCCCAUAGUAUUGAUUUAAGGCAUCUUAGAUUAAUUAAAUAUUUAUAGGUAUAAGAUGGGCAUGCGUAUGAUUAGCUAGUUGGUAAGGUAACGGCUUACCAAGGCGACGAUCAUUAGGGGUUCUGAGAGGAAGGUCCCCCACACUGGUACUGAGACACGGACCAGACUCCUACGGGAGGCAGCAGUGAGGAAUAUUGGUCAAUGGGCGCAAGCCUGAACCAGCCAUGCCGCGUGCCAGGAAGACGGCCUUAUGGGUUGUAAACUGCUUUUACAUAAGACUAACCGUAUAUUUGCGAAUAUACCUGAAUGUAUUAUGAGAAUAAGGAUCGGCUAACUCCGUGCCAGCCGCCGC